GUUAAACUGCUGCUUUAGCCCAGCUAGCAUCUAAGCUAGGUGAACAGGCUAAUUAAUGCAGGGUCGACUCAGGGAUUAAAUGAGUGCACUUCUGUCUGUCACAGCAACAACCUGGAUUAACCCAGGAUGAUAUACAAGAUAUGGUGAAGAGAGAUGAACCUGUGACAGAAGAGUAGAACACGCUCAACAAACAGGUCCAGGCAACAACAGGCAGAGUGCAGCCAGAGGGAUUAGAGCCACUGUCAGCAAGAGAAAGGAGCACAGGAAAUGAUCGUGGCCCCAUGGAGGAAAGUCAGAGGCCAGGGCUGCCAGUCCAGCUGCUGCAGCCCAGGAAAGUGCAAGGGAUGCAGUCAUGAUCCACACAGGACACAUGGUGCAUCAGUUUGUUUGCGUGGGAGCCGGCACGCUUCAUCUUCAUGGGAGCAUCAGAGAACUUGGAGCCCAUCAUCAAACCGUAGUGCAA